GGGGUGUUUUGGCAGCCCAUGUACUAAAAUAGGAACAAUACCAAGAAGAUUAGCAUGGCCCCUGCACAAGGAUGAAAAAGCUUAGGAUGUUGUGAUUGAAAAUAUU
ensembl:snRNA U6 U6 spliceosomal RNA